rnacentral:lncRNA from 1 species
UAAUCCAGCAGGGGGUUGGGGUGGGAGAAGCACUUGGCAGAACCUUGAGCAGGAUAAACCUUGCCAAGGGAUGAGGGCCUGGUAGAGGCACAAGGUGUUUUGUAAGGGACCUUGCAAUCUUCAGGGAUGGGGAGUCAGCCACUCCUGGAGCACAGACCCCCAUCUCCCAUAAACCAGCCCAGCACAGGCAGGAGCAGAAAGCCUUCUCAGCCUCUGGAGAGCAAGUCACCAAAACAGCAGCCCUGCAGCUCCCAGGAGCAGAGGGAAUGGCAGACUUCAGCUGGGAAGCUGCUUUUUGACACAGAGCUGCUUUCAGAGCUGUCCCUGGCUGCAGAGGACAGGGGGUUCUCCCAGCUGCACACCUGAUGGAGCAGGGCAAGGGCAGUUUGGUCCCUCCUGGGCAGCAGGGUCACAGACAAUGGCCCUUUUUAACACAGAGCUUUGUUUCACACACCACAUAAAGUCCCUCCUCCCAAACUCCUCCAAGGAGGAACUUGGCUGAAGUUCUGCUGCAUCACCAGGGCUUUAGAUUAACACAGACAACAAAGUAAAUUACUAAUCCCGAGGACUAGGCAGGGUAUCAUGCAUUCCUUCACCAUGUUAAGUGCCCAGCUGAGGGGGAAGGGCAAGGAAGGAUUUCCAACUCUGCACAAAUAUUUUGAGCCUCUAAAUUGAAGCCCAGCCCCAAAAAUUCCUGUUGCUAUUUUUUGUUCUUUGACAGUAGCACCAGAUGAAAUUAUUUUGCAGCGGACAAACACGCUGUGGAUUGACAAAAGGCAGAAAAGUGUGAGGUUAUUUACCUCUUCCACCAGCAAGAUGAAGGCAUCCCAUCUUUCCAAAACUUUUUCCUCACAGUCCAUCAUCCUCUGCCUCCCAUAUAUAAAGUGCAGCUGCACCCUGAGCUGGGGUGGGACACACUCAGAAGGUCAGAAAGCCCAACCAGCACCAGGUGAAUGAAAUAUUUUCCUUGGCAGGUGUGGAUUUAAUCUGGUGUCCAUCACCCCAAGCAACCCCUUUACCCACCACCUCCACCACCAGAUUCCUCCAAAUAAGAGUUCAAGGCACUGAUUCUGAGCCAUCAAACUUCUUGUCCUUGAGAAUGCUCAGAAAAUACCAGAACCCCAGCCCUGCUGGUGCAGGGGGACGAGACAGUCUCUCCAGGCUGUCAGCUGGAGAUCAUUCCCCAUCCUGCUCUUCAAAGCCACCUCGUGGGCCCCAGAAAUGCUUUGAAGAACAUCCUGGGACAACAGGGAUGGCACAGGAGCAGGGAGGGAGGAACACUACACCCAGCUGCCUCACUGGACUUGUGUAUGGGGGUGGCAGGUUCACUGACAGCUAUUCCUUUUAUUUCUGGAUUUCUGUGUCUGUUUGAAAAGCUGUACCAGCUCUGCUAUAUAAUCAGGAACACAGAAAAUUGGGCUAGAAAUACCAAGAUAACCAGAACACCAAAUCCUAUCUUCAUACCUUUUCUUCACAUUUCAAGACCCAUCUCCAGGAACAUAUCUAUCUUUAGUUUGAAAUUAAAUUGCAAGUCUCAAUACCUGCACAGGCUUUAACUCUUUUUCUUCUUGCAGCUGAGGCUAAAUAUUUUCCCAGCCCUCUUCUCUCAGAGGAAAGGCUCCAUCAAAUCCAACCCUUCCCCAGCACUCCUCUGGGAUCACGGGAUCCCAGUCAACUGAGUUUGCUCUGAGAUGUGCACAGGGAUUGAAGGGUCACCAGCUUUGCUGUGCAUGCCAAGUGCCAUCCUCUUCCCCAGAGCCCAAGCACAGCACCUCGUGGGCAUCCCCACCUCCCAAAGUCUGCAACCACUGGCAGAUUCUAGGCUGCAAAGCACUGUCCAUUGUGAAAGGUACCAGUCAAGGGUGUAUUUGAGGCUGAGAUAGGCACAGCCUAUUUUACCUACUCAACUGAAAUAUUUUCACCUUCUCACCUUGACUGAGACGAAGCAGCAGAGUCUCCAUGAGCUGCUCAAGGAUAAAAAAUGACUUGGCUUGUCUCACAACCCCUCAACAAACAGGGACAAAUCCAAGGGGCUUGUCUCCUGGAGGCUCAAUCCUGUUUUAGGCAGGGGGGGUUCAGAUGGGGGUAACUCCAAGCCACUUCUCACACCCAUCAGAUUUCAGCUGCUGAGACAGGGGGUUUGGUGGGAGGGUUCACAUCAGUGGACUGAUGACAUUCAAUAUUGCAGGUGUAAUAUAAAUAAAAAGUCAGAGGAAAGGAGAGCACCCUUUCUUUUUAUGCUGCAUCAAUCCUUUGUAAAUACUCAGAGCUUUUAGUAUUAACUACCCCAGACAGUGAAAAAAAGCAGGAUGAAGAGAGGACAUCACAGGAGUCCUUGCACUAGUUUGCUUUUUUUUUUUUUUUUUCCUUUUUAGCCUAUUUUCCUGAGGAAAAAAGGCUUAUCUGGUCAUGCUGUCUGUCUUUUAAUCCCUUCUAAUAACUUUUGAAUCCAUUGGCCAAUUUCAAACACACUUGAGACAGACAUACUAAACUCAUGGUAUAGAAAUGGAGAGCUGAGUAUUAUAAAUCAGUGGGAGUUUGUGCAUCCUCUGUGCUGUAGCUCCAACCCCUUAUUCAUUCUGAGAGCUGGAAGUCAGCAUGUCCAUCAGUUUAGGGAUGCAAAGGAAUCUUCAAAAGCAAUUGCCCACAUUGCCAUUUAGCCCCUCCAUGGUCAGGAGGAAACCAUGGGUUUAGAAGGGUGAGUUAAAGGUAGACAAACUAAACCCAUAGGAAAUCAUGUUGAAUUAAUUUUGCCACUCUCAAAGCAAUGGCAGCUUUAUUUUUCCUGUCUUAGGAUAAUACCUCAGAAAAGUAGAAUCAGUGUUUCUGUGCAGGGAUUAAUAUCAUGGCUUCCUCUCUCAUCCUUUUCUGCCUUGAAAGAGUAAAGUCUAAAAUUUAACUCCUGAAGAAAGAGGAGGAAAACACUGAUUACAUGGAUAAAUCCCUUAAAGCAGGACAUGCAGAAAAAUGAGACUAUGAAAGACACUCAGCUCUGCUUUUGGUUCAGGGGCAAUAACUUCAUGCAAAGCUUCUGUCCAGGGCAGCAGAGCAGCAGUGAAACACUCCCUCAGGACCCUGAUGGUCGGGCUGAAAUCCUACUCCCCCGAGAGCAGCAUAUGGUGCACAAGAGCUGCAGAAGCAGCCUCAGAAUUUACACAGAAUUUUAGUUUUAUUUCCCUGCCUACAUGCACCACACUGAGGAUCUGCAGCUAGAAACAGGACCUUGGUGUCUCACCAGGCACACUAUGAUGAGAGCAAGUUUUAAGCCAGGAGCAGAAAUAUGCUCCCAAACUCUUGUGUCCUUGCCACAAUUGGAUGCAGGCAAGCACGAGACUAACAGAACUUUUUCCCACAUGGCAAGCUCAACGUGUUUCAAAGCUUACACACACACACA